AACUUUAUAUUCUAUAUAGGAAAUUAAAUUGCAAGUUUAAAGGAAUAACUAUUUAUUAUUAAAGUUU
rnacentral:tRNA from 1 species